rnacentral:tRNA from 5 species
AGGCUUAAAGCCCUGGUUAUUUUGGGGCUUUAAGCCUAUCGUGCUUAUGCGUUGCCGGCGCCCUCGGGCGCCUCGAGCCAGGCCGG